GUGCUUUAUACAUGCAAGUCGAACGAUGAAGUUCCUUCGGGAAUGGAUUAGUGGCGAACGGGUGAGGAACACGUGAGAAACCUGCCUUUCAUUCUGGGAUAACACCGGGAAACCGGUGCCAAUACCGGAUACUCCAUCUUGGCGGCAUCGCCGAGCUGGGAAAAAAUUUUGAUGAAAGAUGGUCUCGCGGCCUAUCAGCUAGUUGGUGAGGUAAAGGCUCACCAAGGCGACGACGGGUAGCCGGCCUGAGAGGGCGACCGGCCACACUGGGACUGAGACACGGCCCAGACUCCUACGGGAGGCAGCAGUAGGGAAUAUUGGGCAAUGGGCGAAAGCCUGACCCAGCGACGCCGCGUGAGGGAUGAAGGUCUUCGGAUUGUAAACCUCUUUCAGUAGGGAAGAAGCGAAAGUGACGGUACCUAAAGAAGAAGCACCGGCUAAUUAUGUGCCAGCAGCCGCGGUAAUACAUAGGGUGCAAGCGUUGUCCGGAAUUAUUGGGCGUAAAGAGCUCGUAGGUCGUUUGUCGCGUCGAUUGUGAAAAUCUGAGGCUCAACCUCAGACCUGCAGUCGAUACGGGCAAACUAGAGUGUGGUAGGGGAGACUGGAAUUCCUGGUGUAGCGGUGGAAUGCGCAGAUAUCAGGAGGAACACCAAUGGCGAAGGCAGGUCUCUGGGCCAUAACUGACACUGAGGAGCGAAAGUGCGGGGAGCGAACAGGAUUAGAUA
rnacentral:rRNA from 1 species